CAGCCAGUGCAACACAUCCCAUUUCAAACAAUGCACAGAGUCGUAACAGCCAGACUUGUUUUCCUGAUCACAGUUGUGGCACACUGGAGCCUAACUAGCAGCAGUCCUCCAUGUGGCCAAGGCACAUCAAUAUGACAGAGUGGCUAAGAAAAUGAACCGUAAACCACUGGAAAUCCACUUCAGCCAUCACCCUUGGUACUUUCUAUGGCCUUUCCCAACUCAUUUACCUUGUAUGUCGGUGGAAAACCAAAGUACAUGGAGAAAAACCCACACAAUCUCGGAGAAAAUAUAAAAACUCCACACGGUAAGCAUUCAAACCCCUGUGCUUAGC